rnacentral:rRNA from 1 species
GAUGAACGCUGGCGGCGUGCCUAAUACAUGCAAGUCGAGCGAACGGACGAGAAGCUUGCUUCUCUGAUGUUAGCGGCGGACGGGUGAGUAACACGUGGAUAACCUACCUAUAAGACUGGGAUAACUUCGGGAAACCGGAGCUAAUACCGGAUGAUAUUUUGAACCGCAUGGUUCAAAAGUGAAAGACGGUCUUGCUGUCACUUAUAGAUGGAUCCGCGCUGCAUUAGCUAGUUGGUAAGGUAACGGCUUACCAAGGCAACGAUGCAUAGCCGACCUGAGAGGGUGAUCGGCCACACUGGAACUGAGACACGGUCCAGACUCCUACGGGAGGCAGCAGUAGGGAAUCUUCCGCAAUGGGCGAAAGCCUGACGGAGCAACGCCGCGUGAAUGAUGAAGGUCUUCGGAUCGUAAAACUCUGUUAUUAGGGAAGAACAUAUGUGUAAGUAACUGUGCACAUCUUGACGGUACCUAAUCAGAAAGCCACGGCUAACUACGUG